rnacentral:rRNA from 2 species
GGAUGCGAUCAUACCAGCACUAAACCAACGGAUCCCAUCAGAACUCCGAAGUUAAGCAUGCUUGGGCGAGAGCUGUACUAGGAUGGGUGACCUCCUGGGAAGUCCUCAUGUUGCAUUCC